rnacentral:rRNA from 1 species
AUGAACGCUGGCGGCGUGCUUAACACCUGCAAGUCGAACGGUGAAGGCGGAGCUUGCUCUGCUGGAUCAGUGGCGAACGGGUGAGUAACACGUGAGCAAUCUGCCCCUGACUCUGGGAUAAGCGCUGGAAACGGCGUCUAAUACUGGAUACGAGCUGCGAAGGCAUCUUCAGCAGCUGGAAAGAAUUUCGGUCAGGGAUGAGCUCGCGGCCUAUCAGCUUGUUGGUGAGGUAAUGGCUCACCAAGGCGUCGACGGGUAGCCGGCCUGAGAGGGUGACCGGCCACACUGGGACUGAGACGCGGCCCAGACUCCUACGGGAGGCAGCAGUGGGGAAUAUUGCACAAUGGGCGAAAGCCUGAUGCAGCAACGCCGCGUGAGGGACGACGGCCUUCGGGUUGUAAACCUCUUUUAGCAGGGAAGAAGCGAAAGUGACGGUACCUGCAGAAAAAGCGCCGGCUAACUACGUG